rnacentral:misc_RNA from 2 species
AACGCACAUUGCGCCCGUUAGCAUUCUAGCGGGCAUGCCUGUUCGAGCGUCAUUUCAACCCUCAGAACCCCUGUAUUUUUUACGGGGUGUACUGGUGUUGGGGCUCUCUGCGGCUGCCGCAGGCCCUGAAAAACAGUGGCGGGCUCCGCUAUACUCCGAGCGCAGUAAUACUUCUCGCUCAGGGCGUGUAGUGGGGAUCUUGUCUUAAAAAAACUUUUUAAUGGUUGACCUCGGAUCAGGUAGGAAUACCCGCUGAACUUAA